UCUAUGCAAGGUUAAAGAUUCAUCCAUUUCACAGCUGUUUGCUUGAAUUGCAGUUUUCUCUGAGGCAAUGAACAAAAUAAGAUUUGCUACAUAGUUAUUCUCCAUAUUUUCACGAUUCUUUCUAAUGUAUCAUUGCAUGUGGAGUAACUGAAGUGAUUAGUUACUUUUUAUUUGUAGGUGAAUCUUGAAACUUGGUGAUUGCAGGCACCUUUAAAAAUAUGGAACUUCAGCCUAUCUAGCACUUGCAUCCAAUCCCAUCUGUAAGCUGCAAUGGAAUUCUCACUUACCUUUGCUGCUGACUUCAUUCACUAAUUGAAUGCCAACGAAUUUCGAUGCUGAAAGACUUGGAAACCAUGCUGUCGACCACGUCGAGAAGCUGAGUAACAUUCUGCUUUUACAAUGGCACCUCUUAAUAAAAGGAACUUAAGCCAUCUAAUCUAGGGCUUCCAUCAAAUCGUGCAGGCUGCAUGGAAGUCGCAUUUACCUUUGUUGUGAACAUCAUGAACACAUACACUAUUUGAAGGUUCAUGUUUACGUAGCAGUGGUGUUGCUGUCCAAUGUGGCGUGUUGUUCCAGCCUAUGGUGGUGAAAGAUAUCUGCAUCAAGUUGCUGUUCCUUGUGCAUCCAAGGUGCUGCUUUUGUGCUACAGAAGUGACAUCCAAUAUUGUGUUUAAUUGCUAUUUGUGUCUUCGCAGUUUACCUUUAUAUAUUGAGA